rnacentral:ncRNA from 1 species
AAGCCCCAGUAAACGGCGGCCGUAACUAUAACGGUCCUAAGGUAGCGAAAUUCCUUGUCAGGUAAGUUCUGACCCGCACGAAAGGUGUAACGAUUUGAGCACUGUCUCGACAACACGCCCGGUGAAAUUGAAGAACCAGUGAAGAUACUGGUUACCCGCAACAGGACGGAAAGACCCCAUGGAGCUUUACUGCAGCUUAAUAUUGGGAUUCGGUAUUGUAUGUACAGGAUAGGAGGGAGACUAAGAAGCUAGCACGCCAGUGUUGGUGGAGUCGAUGGUGGGAUACCUCUCUUAUAAUACUGAAUUUCUAACCUACUUCCGUGAUCCGGAAGAGGGACAUUGUUAGGCGGGCAGUUUGACUGGGGCGGUCGCCUCCGAAAGAGUAACGGAGGCGCUCAAAGGUCUUCUCAGAAUGAUUGGAAACCAUUCAAAGAGUGUAAAGGCAAAAGAAGGCUUGACUGCGAGAGUGACAACUCGAGCAGGUACGAAAGUAGGACUUAGUGAUCCGGUGGUAAUAAGUGGGAAUGCCAUCGCUCAACGGAUAAAAGCUACC